rnacentral:rRNA from 1 species
UGGCGGCAGUAGCGCGGUGGUCCCACCUGACCCCAUGCCGAACUCAGAAGUGAAACGCCGUAGCGCCGAUGGUAGUGUGGGGUCUCCCCAUGCGAGAGUAGGGAACUGCCAGGCU